AGACUUGAGACCGUUUGAGGCGGUUGUAGACUGUUAUUCUGCUAGGAGUGUCUCAUGAGAGCUU
rnacentral:tRNA from 1 species